UACGGGAGGCAGCAGUGGGGAAUCUUGCGCAAUGGGCGAAAGCCUGACGCAGCCAUGCCGCGUGAAUGAUGAAGGUCUUAGGAUUGUAAAAUUCUUUCACCGGGGACGAUAAUGACGGUACCCGGAGAAGAAGCCCCGGCUAACUUCGUGCCAGCAGCCGCGGUAA
rnacentral:rRNA from 1 species